CCCGGGAUCUUGGUGCCUGAGGCGCUGGGCCUUGGCAACUGGGUGAAGGCGCAGGAGUGGGCGGCCGUCCCCGGCGGGCAGGCCACAUACCUGGGCAACCCGGUGCCGUGGGGCACGCUGCCCACCAUCCUGGUGAUCGAAUUCGUGGCCAUCGCCUUCGCCGAGCACCAGCGCACCAUGGAGAAGGACCCCGAGAAGAAGAAGUACCCCGGCGGCGCCUUCGACCCGCUCGGCUUCUCCAAGGACCCCGUCAAGUUCGAGGAGUACAAGCUCAAGGAGAUCAAGAACGGUGAGUCUCCUGGUUUUGUGUACUAUAUGAUCUCGUUGUUGUAGUGACAGCCUCCCACUCCAUUGAUCAUACGCUAACCACUGGGCAUCGUCUAAACGAUUGUGCAUGAUGAUGAGCAGGCCGGCUUGCGAUGUUGGCGUUCGUGGGGUUCUGCGUGCAGCAGUCGGCGUACCCCGGCACCGGGCCGCUGGAGAACCUGGCUACCCACCUCGCCGACCCGUGGCACAACAACAUCGGCGACAUCAUCAUCCCCAGAACGAUCUACCCUUGAGCUGAGAUGAUUGUGAGAGAAGAGGAUGAGACGAGACAGGAGAUGGGGCUGUGCUGGGAGUGUGGAUGAUGUUCUAUGUGUGUGAUUGGUUGGUUACUGGGCACUGCCUGCGUGCGUGCAGGAACUGUACAACGAACAACGACGGCGACUUUCCGGCCGGCCGGGAACCCCUUAUAAUGUAAAGCUUAUUAUUAUUAAGUAGCGGCUACCCUUA
rnacentral:lncRNA from 1 species